rnacentral:sRNA from 1 species
UGCUCCAAGGAGGGCAGGCCGUCCUGCGC